UAAAGGAUAGCUCCCUUGGUAGAGGAUGAAACUCUUAAUCUCAGGGACAUGGGUUCGAACCCCACAUUCCUUUCU